ACAAAGAACAAAAACCCUAAAUUAGAGAAUUAGGGAUCGCGCCUCCAUCUUCUUCCUCACGGCUCCUCCGGCGAAAACAUGAUCGGAGUGUGCCUCUUCUGCCUUCAGGUCGGCUUUCCCCCAAUUCUCUCUCUUUCCUCCUCGGCGUAAGUCGCCGCUCACCGGGGUUCUGUCGCUGCGCAAGGCCGGCCACCAACCGUCGUCUCGUCGCUGCCGCCAUCGUCUCCGGCUGCUCGACGAGCAGGACCGUCGCCCGCUGUGUCGCUCAGCACCGACUCUCCGUCGCUGCAGUUUCAUCUGCGGCAACACUCCGACUCUAACCGUCCCUUGCGGAGGGCCAGCCGCCCUCCCCUCCUCGAUCAUUCCUCCAGGCGGCACCGCCGAAAUGGAGCCGCCUCUGCCGCUGACGGCCUCCGCCGCCACUCAAAUCGAACAGCCCCGUCCGCACCUCGCCGGACAGCCGACACAUAAGCUAAGUUCUCUAUCCCCUUUCUUUUUCUUAUAUAAAAAAAAAGUCUUGAGUUUCGAACAGUAACUAUGUUGGAGGCUUUUGAUCGUAGUGUCUUAAAGUUGUGAUCUUUGGAGAGAAUUUUUAUCUCAUUGGAUUGAGUCUUAUUGUUUUGAGUUCCAUUCUUAAGUUGUGAGGUCUCCUAUUAUUUGUGGAAGCUUAACAUAUGCUUGCCCUUGACUAUUGUUGUAAAAAUCCUAUUGAAAUCUAAGUUCUUGGCUAACUGUUGAGGUUGAUCUACAUGAUGUAAGGGAGGGUUUGGUUGUAUUAUUACUGAUCUUAUUUGGUAUUUAGAAAGCCAUUUGAGAUUUCUAGGUUGUGGUGUCUCUACAUGAAUGAAAAGGAGUGAUAAGGAGGGUUAGAUGAUUUACCUGCAGUGGUGAAAGGGACUAAAAGGAAGGGAAGGUUCUUCUUGCUUGCUCGCUGUCCCUUCUUCCCCAGAAUUUCACUCUCAAGUGCUAAAAUUUUCCAAGUGUGUGGGAGGGGAAUUUGAUGAGUAUGAAGGGGUUUUGGGAGAAUUAAAUGGGGCUGAUUUCCCAUUUUGUUUUCUAUAUGCAGCAUAUCUCCCUUUCUAUGAUUCUGCAGCACUUUUAAUUUAAUGUAUCUUGGUAUUUAGCUUGGGAUUUAAAGGACUCCUCAUUUACUCCUUUUGGUUGAUUGUGUAGAUUGUGAAUCGGUGGUAUGCAGGGGCUGUUGUGGAGGAGAGGUGGCAGGUUUGACCUGCCUUCUUUGGCAAGUCCUUACUCCCUUAUUGGAAAGGAGGUUGGGGAAGAACUUGGCUGUCCCGCUGCUGUCCUCGACGUGGGCCCGCUGUCCUGGCCCGACGGGUCGAUCGGUAGGGCCGCGGUGGUGCGAGUUGGGCUCGGGAGAAAAAGAGGCCCAAAGUUGUGCAUAAGAUUUUUAGCUUCCUAGUCCUUUGGCCCAUUCACGAAGAAUAGUAUUCCACAUUUUUUUUUCUUUCCGUUCAUAAAUCACAUGUGAAACGGUCAUAUAGAUUAAUGUAUCUUGUUUUCGAGCACUUUUAGUUCGGGAUACAAAUCAUUGUUUUCCUUUCACUACGUCUAUUUUAUUUCCUAAACAUUCGUUAAA